rnacentral:tRNA from 1 species
GGUAGCUCAGCUGGAUAGAGUGUUGGCCUCCGGAGCCAAAGGUCGUGGGUUCGAAUCCCGUCCG